GUGUCAGCCGCCGCGGUAAUACGUAGGUGGCAAGCGUUGUCCGGAUUUAUUGGGUUUAAAGGGUGCGUAGGCGGCCUAUUAAGUCAGUGCUGAAAUAUCCCGGCUUAACCGGGAGGGUGGCAUUGAUACUGAUGGGCUUGAGUGGAGUCGAGGUAGGCGGAAUUGACGGUGUAGCGGUGAAAUGCUUAGAUAUCGUCAAGAACACCGAUAGUGUAGACAGCUUACUAGACUUCAACUGACGCUGAGGCACGAAAGUGUGGGGAUCAAACAGGAUUAGAAACCCCCGUAGUCC
rnacentral:rRNA from 1 species